UGAGGAAUAUUGGUCAAUGGGCGCGAGCCUGAACCAGCCAAGUAGCGUGAAGGAUGAAGGUCCUAUGGAUUGUAAACUUCUUUUAUAGCAGAAUAAAGUGACCCACGUGUGGGUUUUUGUAUGUAUGCUAUGAAUAAGGAUCGGCUAACUCCGUGCCAGCAGCCGCGGUAAUACGGAGGAUCCGAGCGUUAUCCGGAUUUAUUGGGUUUAAAGGGUGCGUAGGCGGAAAGAUAAGUCAGCCUGUGAAAGUUUGCGGCUCAACCGUAAAAUUGCAGUUGAUACUGUUUUUCUUGAGUGUACAUAAGGUAGGCGGAAUUCGUGGUGUAGCGGUGAAAUGCUUAGAUAUCACGAAGAACUCCGAUUGCGAAGGCAGCUUACCGGGGUACAACUGACGCUGAUGCACGAAAGUGUGGGUAUCAAACA
rnacentral:rRNA from 1 species